CCAAUAGCGUAUAUUAAAGUUGUUGCAGUUAAAAAGCUCGUAGUUGAACUUCGGGGUUUACCCAUUGGUCAGGCUUAAUUGUCUGUACUGGUGAGAUAAAUCUCUACCUUCUGAGGAACUUUCAUGCCAUUUAUUUGGUGUGAUUGGAAAUCAGGACUGUUACUUUGAAAAAAUUAGAGUGUUUAAAGCAGGCUAACGUCUGAAUACAUUAGCAUGGAAUAAUGAAAUAGGACGGACUGAUUCUAUUUCGUUGGUUUCUAGGAUCACCGUAAUGAUUAAUAGGGAUAGUUGGGGGCAUUAGUAUUCAAUUGUCAGAGGUGAAAUUCUUGGAUUUAUUGAAGACUAACUACUGCGAAAGCAUUUGCCAAGGAUGUUUUCAUUAAUCAAGAACGAAAGUUAGGGGAUCGAAGACGAUCAGAUACCGUCGUAGUCUUAACCAUAAACUAUGCCGACUAGGGAUCGGACGAAGUUAAUUUUAUAAUGACGCGUUCGGCACCUUACG
rnacentral:rRNA from 1 species